GUCUCUGGAUAUUCAGCUCCUGCAAAAGAUAAAUUGUGUACUUUCAGUGUCUCUGGUUCGUAGCCAAAAAAAGAUAUAGCUACAUAAACUCUCCUAGGACUAUCCAUAUCACAUAACUACCAACUAAGAUCAAGUUGCUCAGUUUGUGGCUGAAACAAAGACAUUAUGUGCUUCACUGGUAUAUGCUAGGAAAAUGUCUUUUAUUGUUCCAAAACUAUUAUGUGUUUCCGGUUUAGGCCAAAUAUUUCUAGGAAAAAGACAAAGACAGACUCUUACA